rnacentral:rRNA from 1 species
UUACCAGGGCUUAAAUGCAAGUUGCAUGAUGUGGAAACAUGUCAGUCUUCGGACAAUUUGCAAGGUGCUGCAUGGCUGUCGUCAGCUCGUGCCGUGAGGUGUUGGGUUAAGUCCCGCAACGAGCGCAACCCCCAUCUUUAGUUGCCAGCGAGUAAUGUCGGGGACUCUAAAGAAACUGCCUACGCAAGUAGUGAGGAAGGCGGGGACGACGUCAAGUCAUCACGGCCCUUACGUCCUGGGCCACACACGUGCUACAAUGGUUGGUACAGAGGGCAGCUACUGGGUGACCAGAUGCGAAUCUCUAAAGCCAAUCUCAGUUCGGAUUGGAGUCUGCAACUCGACUCUAUGA